CUGAGUGGUCAACUUUUUUCUUCUGGCAUACUGGAAUUUAGAUAUGUGCUACCAAAAUGACAUCAAAUAACCAGCCCUUCUCAAAAGUGUGAUCACAACUCACUGCUGGAAGAAUUUAGUGUGCCUAUGUGACUCAGUUGGGAAGGAUUUUUUUGGAACCUUGUGACUGUUUCCUCUGGACUUCGUUUCAUGAAUGUUUUUUAUUUGUGUAUAUUACUUAGUGUGCUUAAUUACUGUAAGAGAUCAUAGCCACAUCCAUGACUAUAGGCUGAGUAAGGUCCUCUAGAAAAAUCACUGAACUUGGGAACAUUCUUGGGACCUCCAAAGACAUGUUGAUAUGUAAGGGAAAAUGCAACCAAUAGAAACUGACCCUAAAGAAGUCCAGAUAUAUGACUUUCUACAAUGAUUAUAUCUGCUAUUGUAAAUAUAUUCAAAGAAUUAAAGUGGACACAACAUCUUUUAUUUUUAUGUGGUGCUGAGGAUUGAACCCAACACCCCACACGUGCCAGUUGUCUGGAGGAUUCCUAGCCUGCUUUUACUUUACUAUGCUCCUGAGCCAAAGGAAUAUCUCCAUGCCAAAGAGCCCAGCCAAUGUGUUUUGGGUACUUUCAUCAAUCCCUUCAACUCCUUUGAGGGGAGACAUUAUCACUGCUUCCACAUAUGAGAGAAAACACGUGUCCUUAGUCCCUUGACCUUCUGAGCUUGAUUUAUUUUACUUAAUAAAAUGGUCUCUAGUUCAAUCUA